UGUCUUUUAUUGGAUGAAAAUAUACGUCAAUUUUGACGUCACUGCUGCAGCAGACGUGUUGGGUGUUUGGAAAAGGCAAGUGAUCUCCUAACAAUAAUAUUUUGAUUCAUAUUGUUUAAAUAUCAUUUCAUUAUUGUUACAGGUGCGUAUGAACUCUCUAUAUACUCUUAUCACUUGCAUCAUGCAUGUAAUUGUUAAAUCAAUGUAUUUCGUAAACCUAACGUUCGUGAUCUGUAAGUAAGUUUGGAUAAAAUUUGUUUCUGAAUGAAUGUAAACAUUACAUGUUAGGCUAAAGGCAUUACUACUUUUUUAAAACUUGAAUUUGUUUUCGUUUUGUUACGUACUGAUAGGAAAGUGAAAGUAGAAACCUUGUAUGUCAGUUGGCGUUAUGUAUGUUGAGAUCGUUAUCAAGUCCGGAUUCCUUCUUAAACUUAAUGACAAAUGUUUGUUUUUAUGGCCUAUAGAUGCAUUCGGCAACUUGAGUUCAGUGUCACAGUGCUGUUUUUUUCAGUCCAGAGCCCGAAGCUGAUAAGACUGGCGAGUGGUUCUGAAGCUGAUUUGGCAGACGAUUGCAUCAUCACAAUAUUGAAGGUUUAAUAUACAGUCAGCCUCUCAUAAGAUAAAGAACAAAUCCCAAGAUCCAAGGCUUGCUUCAAAGCUAAGAGACCAUUCUGUGCCACAAAGAAAUUGUUCAGGAAAAGGAGAAGAGGUGGAUGUUCAUUUUUGGUACG